rnacentral:rRNA from 1 species
UACGUAGGGGGCAAGCGUUGUCCGGAAUCAUUGGGCGUAAAGAGCGUGUAGGCGGCCUGGUAAGUCCGCUGUGAAAGUCCAGGGCUCAACCCUGGAAUGCCGGUGGAAACUGUCAGGCUCGAGUCCGGAAGAGGCGAGUGGAAUUCCUGGUGUAGCGGUGAAAUGCGCAGAUAUCUGGAGGAACACCGGUGGCGAAGGCGGCAUCCUGGACCGGCAUUGACGCUGAGGAGCGAAAGCCAGGGGAGCAAACGGG